ACACACACAUACACACACACACACACACACACACAUACACACACACACACACACACACACACUCACACACACGUUUCCAUAGAGAGAGGUUCCACUUUGCAUUAGCAGCUCAUGCUUCAGUGCUCUGUGAGUGUUUAUAGCCCUGUGACUUUAACACUUCAUGACUGAGAUCUGCUGCUCAGCGACUUCACCCACAGCAACCAUGAGUUUGAUCAGUGUCUUCAUCUGCACACUGCUCCUCUGUGCUCGAGGGAACACAAUGAUUUAUCUUCUACUGUUCAGCUGACAAAUCCAUGUGCAGUAGGCCGACUAGAUGAACUUCAACUCAACAUCAUUAUUAAUGUAGGGAAAGGAUUUAUUCUUCUUAUUUUUUUCAGGAUCCAGAGGUCAGGUGACUGUGACUCAGAGUCCUGCAGUGAAAACUGUUUCUCCAGGAGACUCGGUCACCAUCAACUGUAAAUCCAGUCCUGAUGUUAAUACUUAUUGUAAUGGUAAAGGUAAAUGGCCUGGUAUCAGCAGAAAUCUGGAGAAGCUCCUAAACUCCUGAUCUAUAAUGCUGAUCAAAGGACAUCAGGUAUUCCAUCUCGAUUCAGUGGCAGUGGAUCUGGAUCUGAUUUCAUUCUGACCAUCAGUGGAGUCCAGACUGAACAUGCUGGAGACUAUUACUGUCAGAGUCGGCAUAAGAUCAGUGGUAACUGGGUGAAUACACAGAAUACACAGGUCCAGACAAGCAGACAUGUUUUAUUUAUUUGGGUUCAGCACGUAGUUAACUAUCUAAGCUAAAGCCACAAUAGAUUUACUAUAUACACAGGGAUUUAACAGAAUUCUCACAGUGUCACAUGAUUUGAAGAAUAAAAGGAUAAAGGAACAGAAAGUUAAUUAAAUACGACAUCAUGCACUGAAACACAAAUAAUGAUAAACUGAAUAUUACAGGUUAAUGACAUAAAUCUACUGGAGCUGAAGAGGAAGAUGUUCUACAUUUUCUUGGGUGAACACAUCCACUGAUGAAUAGAAACAUUAAGUCACUCAUAGAUGAAGUGAAUAACAUUAAUUAUCUCAUAACAGCACGUGUCAGGAACAGCUGGACAGUUCCCUGCCAGGCCUGGAGAGGGUGCUGGCAGGUGAUUCUAUGGAGCCUGCUUUAUUGUGUGUAUUUUGUGCCACGCCUUUCCUAUUGUUCUCGUGCCCACUGUUUCACCUGUUCCCUAUUAGCCUUUAUGUUUAGCCCUAUAAAUAGGGAUCCUUUCGUAUUCAUCUUUGUUGGCUAUUGUUCUAUGUUCCUUGUUUUAUUAGUGUCAUGGCUCGUGUUUAGGCUAGUCUUAUUCACCUUCAAACAAAAAAAAUUAUUGUGAUUUUUAGGGCUUCAGAUUUAUUUUUUUAGAUUUCCUCAGAUUUUUUUCUGCCUUAAAUUUAUAACCCAUUUUUCACACAAUCCAGCGUUAUUUGAAACGAAUAAGAUAUUUUCACCAAGGUCUUUCUGCAGGUCUUUUGCCCUUCACCACACAAGUCUGAGGAGCAGGAGAUACUGCACCUGCUGUGUCCAGUUCAGGUUCUCAGCACACCCAUCGCUCCAGUGUGUGGUCUCAGUCAGCCCGCCACGCUAUCUUCCGGAGAGGUCCCAGGAGUGCUCUGCGACGUUAUCGCCAGUAUCAGCUGUCUUGCCUGGCCAUUGAACUUACUGGUUUCCUGGAACACCUAUCUGAAUCCUCUAUUCCUGAGUCUCCUCACCUCACUCACCACAUCAUGAGAUACAGUCUGUCUUGAUCAGAGCACCCAAUUUCACCACACAACCUGUGAUCAGUCUACUCAGACCUUCUACUGGCAUUGGACACGCACCACCUCUCAAGGCGUCCAAACUGAGGACUUCCCUGUUGAGAUCUCCUCUGAUUCUUCCUGACUCUUCUUCGCCUCCUAGUUCCCCUGACGUUCCCCAAUGUUCUCCUGGAUUUGUGCCUUUGCCUUACAGUAUUCACGAUAUUCCCCAAUCUUCUCCUGUCUAUUCGCCUCCAAUUUCUCCCACUGAUUAUUCUCCAACUUCUCCUCAGGAACCUGAGAUCCUGUCUUCUACAACUGACCCUCCAGUCCCACUGAUCCCACUGGAUAGGCUGACUGACUGAGCUGUAACUCCUAAUGUUCCAAUAAAUUUCUCUUUUCUGUUUCCA